UUAAAGUUUGACUCUGGCUAGUUAUUUUCUUUAUGAUGAAAAUGCAUGUAAACAUAAGUGAGACAAUAUAAUAUUUAUUUUAAAUAAAUGAUAUUUUGCAAAUAGAAUAAGUAAUGACUGCUCAAUUCUCAGCAUAUAAUAUUACUAGAUUAAUUAAAGUUAGAAUUAGAAAAUCAUAUAAAAUCUGGCUAAAAUUGUGCCAGCCGCCGCGGUUAUACUGUGAGGUUAAGUGAAUAAGUUUUGGUUAAAAUGGGUUAUUUAUCGUUAUUAAAAUAUUUAAAGUUAAGGUAGUAGGUAUAAGUGAAACGAAUAACUAAGAGAUUACUUUUAAUUUAUUUAAUAAAUAAGAGACCUAAAAAUCUAAGGUAUAAACCAGGAUUAGAUACCCUGCUAUACUUAGUUAAAAUGAAAAAAUACCUGGGUAGUAUAUAGUUAUUUCCUUGAAACCCAAAGAGUUUGGCGGUAUCUCAGCCUAGUUAGAGGAGCUUGUUCGGUAAUCGAUAAUCCGCGGAGAAUCUUACACAUUUUUGUAAACAGUUUAUAUACCGUCGUUAUUAGAUAAUGUUUAAAGGCAAAUAAUUAUCUAAAUAUAAUAAAAUAUAGUAUAUCAGAUCAAGGUGUAGCUAAUAAGUGUGAGUUGAAUGAGCUACAAUUUAGAAUUAUAAAUUACGAAAAAUAAUUUAAAAUAAUUAUUGGAAGGUGGAUUUAAUAGUAAUUAGAAUUUAGUAGGGUUUAAUGAUAUAAGCUCUGAGAUAUGUACACAUCGCCCGUCGCUCUCACUACAAAGUGAGAUAAGUCGUAACAUAGUAGGGGUACUGGAAAGUGUCCCUAGAAUGCA
rnacentral:ncRNA from 1 species